CUGCAAUAUAAUGAGGGGUCAUUCGGUAAAAUAUGUGGGGAAUUGCCAAAGUUAGCGAAUUUAAUGUAAAAUGUUACUUUUUCCUGUGCCUGUUAAUAACGUAAUUAUUUCUCUGGUACAGCAGUGUAUGCUGGGUAAUCAGACUGUAAGCUCAGUCCCCCAUGUAGUCCCCUACUGGACAAACCCUGUAAUGUGACGUGGGAAACCCCUUACAUUUGUAACCGCAUAAAUACUGUGACCUGUGAUUAAAACCUCAGUUGACCUCCAAGCUAUGU